UACGUAGGGUGCGAGCGUUAAUCGGAAUUACUGGGCGUAAAGCGUGCGCAGGCGGUUUGUCAAGUCUUGUGUGAAAGCCCCGGGCUCAACCUGGGAAUGGCAUGGGAAACUGGCGAGCUGGAGUGCGGCAGAGGGGGGUGGAAUUCCGCGUGUAGCAGUGAAAUGCGUAGAGAUGCGGAGGAACACCGAUGGCGAAGGCAGCCCCCUGGGUCGACACUGACGCUCAGGCACGAAAGCGUGGGGAGCAAACAGG
rnacentral:rRNA from 1 species